rnacentral:rRNA from 1 species
UACGAAGGGUGCAAGCGUUACUCGGAAUUACUGGGCGUAAAGCGUGCGUAGGUGGUUCGUUAAGUCUGAUGUGAAAGCCCUGGGCUCAACCUGGGAAUGGCAUUGGAAACUGGCGACCUAGAGUGCGGUAGAGGGUAGUGGAAUUCCCGGUGUAGCAGUGAAAUGCGUAGAGAUCGGGAGGAACAUCUGUGGCGAAGGCGACUGCCUGGACCAGCACUGACACUGAGGCACGAAAGCUAGGGGAGCAAACGGG